rnacentral:rRNA from 1 species
CUCCUACGGGAGGCAGCAGUGGGAAUCUUGCGCAAUGGACGAAAGUCUGACGCAGCGACGCCGCGUGGGUGAUGAAGGCCUUCGGGUUGUAAAGCCCUGUGGGAGGGACGAAUAAGUCGGAGCCAAUACCUCCGGCGAUGACGGUACCUCCUUAGCAAGCACCGGCUAACUCUGUGCCAGCAGCCGCGGUAAUAC